rnacentral:rRNA from 1 species
AGUGAACGCUGGCGGUAGGCCUAACACAUGCAAGUCGAACGAACGCACAGUAAGAGCUCGCUCUUACGGGUGGCGAGUGGCGGACGGGUGAGGAAUACAUCGGAAUCUACUAUUUCGUGGGGGAUAACGUAGAGAAACUUACGCUAAUACCGCAUACGACCUACGGGUGAAAGCAGGGGAUCUUCGGACCUUGCGCGAUUGUAUGAGCCGAUGUCGGAUUAGCUAGUUGGCGAGGUAAAGGCCCACCAAGGCGACGAUCCGUAGCUGGUCUGAGAGGAUGAUCAGCCACACUGGAACUGAGACACGGUCCAGACUCCUACGGGAGGCAGCAGUGGGGAAUAUUGGACAAUGGGCGCAAGCCUGAUCCAGCCAUACCGCGUGGGUGAAGAAGGCCUUCGGGUUGUAAAGCCCUUUUGUUGGGAAAGAAAAGCAGCAGGUGAAUACCCCGCUGUUCUGACGGUACCCAAAGAAUAAGCACCGGCUAACUUCGUG